UGUGUGUGUGUGUGUGUGUGUGUGUGUGUGUGUGUGUUUUGAAGGCUGGGAGGGUCAGGGAUUCUGUGAACACUUCAGAGUUUUUUGAGGAUGAGCUAAUGGUGUCUUCCGUCUCCUGUCUCCUACACUGGCUUCUGAAUUGCUAUCCCCACCCCAGCCGUCUGCUUUCCUGAGGCUCCACGAACCAUUUCCCCACUUUGCCUAUCCUAUGGUUGGUUGGGGUCAGUCGCUUUUUCACGUCCAUCAAGACAAGGCAGGCUCCCUGAGGAGGUAGGCUUUUUAGGAAGACUUAAAGGGGGUGAGGGACUAUCAUUAGGUAAAGCCCUGAAGAAAGGUACUGAAUGAUGGAUCUUCUAAAUGCAUAUUAAUGCUUAAUUGUUUCUGAUGUUCUUUGGAGAGCCUGAGCCUCUCCUAAUUUUCUUGAUCUCUCAACCCUGAGGAAGAGCUGUACUGUCUGUCACACUGGACCAGGAACUUGACUUCCUGCAUGGCAGUUCUAGAACGAUUCCACUGUCUUCCUAGCUAUGAACAUAGGAUGUGACAGUCCUGGACCUUAGUGAAUAUCACAGUGGUUACAAGAGUCUCUGGGUCCCUCCCCCUGGGCUCUCGCUCUCACUGAGAUCCUUCUGUAGGGGGGCCCAGAUGCAUCCAGAGUUUUUCUCAUGCUGUGUUUGAAACUUGACCAUUUUUUUUUAAUGAUAAAGAAUAAUUUCAAUAAUGUAGAGUUGGUUUCUUAUUAAAUCAAAGGAGAAAGAUUAUCAAGCGUGGUAGGUAUUGUACUUUAAGUUGAUUACAAAAAGCUUUAUUGAGGGUUAACCACUAGGCAAUGGAUAGAAAAUCAAUUACACGGUAGUUAAACAUCCAAUAAUAUGUGUUGUAAUGAACAAUUCAUAUUUAACACCUCUUAUGAAAUAAUGAGCUGUGUUGGAGUUUUGGGGUAGCCAAGCAGCAGUUGGGAUAUGAGAGUAAAAUCUUGAGGAGGCUGACACCAUGUUUUAUCAAGUAGCAUCUCACGGCAUCAUGGUUAUGUGAGGGCUGGUUCACUUCCCAUUCCGGUAUCAUGCUUCCUGACAGCUGACAUGACCACACAGCUUCUAAGAGUCACCAGUCUAGACCGAGACCCAAGACUGCACUGACGUCAGAUUGGUAUGAAAGAACAAGUCGUUAAGUCACUAAGAUGAUGCUGUGCAUCAUGAAAUUAACAUGUCCAGAUUUCCUUAGGUAAUGUGGACAGCCAGAGGGUCCUUUUCUCAUCCUAUCCCAGUCUAUAGAGACCCAUCUCUUCACCGUCUGCCAUAUUGUCUCCCACGUGAUACAUGAAAGCCUGACUCAGAACUCUUUAUAUUUAAAUGGUAUUUGCAUGUAGUGUGUUCAUGAAUAACUCAAUUCAGUUGCUAUUCAUGCUUUUCCUUUUUCACCACACCGCCCAAUCAAAUGUGAUUUCAAGCUAGGAAGGGGCCAUCCAGUCGCAAAACCUGCCAAGCCACCCACAUUUCUGGCUUCACUGAAGGUUGUUCUGUAAUUCCCUGUGUCUCCUUCUGCUCCGGGUUCUAUAAUAUGAAGCUAGUAUUUUCAAAGGAGUUCACAGUUUGUGCCUCCAGAAUCAGACCAUGGUAGAGUCCUUCAGUUGAGCCAAUUCACAGAUAUUUUGCAGAGUUACAGGAGAGGUGAAGGAGAAAGCAAAGAGUGGAAGACAAGAAGAAAAUAGCAGCGUUCAGGUGGCAAUUGGAAAUGAGAACCAGUGAAGCGGAGAGAAUACAAAGCGGCUAUUUCAUGGGUAGAAGAUCGCGAUGGGGAAGGUUCACUCAUGAGUAGGAGAAGCUGAGUGAGGAAAGGACAAUAGGAGGGAGUAAGCUAUUGGCUCAGAAAACACUGGCUCUGGCUGACAUUGUGAAGAUCAUAAAACCAACCUGAGGUAAGUAGGAUAGUUAGCAUUUGGGAGCUUAGGCUCUAGAGCCUGGCAGACUAGAUUUCUGGUCCUUUCUGCCACUUGCUAGCUAUGAGGUUGGGAAUUUAUUUAACCCCUCUGGGCCCAGUGAUGCAAAAUCUACGUGCUUACACCCAAGUACCUAGUAUAAGAUCUGCCGUAUCCUUGUCAUGCAAUAAAUAUUGGACAAUGUGUAUGUAAUCGUAUCUACCCUAUAUGGGCAUUUUUGUGCAGACAGAUUGCAAAAGGCCAGGUAGGACAUUUCAUGUAUUGCCUGGUACAUAUAAUAUAAUUAUGAGCAUACUUAUUACUGCACUUAUUUUUAAAAUAUGCAAGCAUUUGAUUUUCUGUAGCCAUUUGAUCUUACUACGUAAACGAUGUCCCUCCUGUUGCUACCACGCUGGGAACUGCUGUGAAUGCUGGGGCAUAUUUUGUGAGCUCCCAUCAUAGUGGCUGGCAUUAAACAUGCUCCGAGAUAGGUUAAGGAAGUGAGUCGCUUGCGGAAUCUUAAAGUGGGAGCUCACCUUACUGAACAUCUAGUCUAGCCUGUAGAUUUUAUAGGCACAGCCUAUAAAUCCUUUUGGGACCAAGUAGAAAUCGCUGUAGCAGCAUGGCAUUUUGUUAACGAGGAUGCUGUGGCCCAGGGAGGCUAGGUGGUUUGGGCUGGGCAACCCAGUGUGUGAUGACUAAACCAGAAGUAUAGCCCAGGUCACGCAGUUCCCGGGGUGGUGGCAACCAAGCCUUCCCUUCCAGGGACAAGGGUGGCUAGCCAGUUGUAGAGCCUGGGGGCCGCUGUGUAAGAUGUGACUUUCUCAUGUUGCAGUCUCCAGGGGCUUCAGUGUCUUUUCGGAGGAAGAGCUUACAACCUGAGGCCUGGAAUCUGAGGUUGGGGUUGUCACAAGGGGGUCGAGCCCAAAUUCUAGGGCUGUGGGUUCCGAGGUAGAAUUCUUGACAGUUCCAAGUAGGAUUCCGGACUCCACCUGAAUUUCUCAAACACCAGCCCGGGAUUUGAGAGCUGGAGAAGCCCUGAUGUAUCAGCAGUCACGAUAGGUUGUGGGAAAGGCACGUGAAAAGUGAUGGGAAUGAGAUGAAGGAGGUGUCGAGGAGCAAGAAUUCCCGUCCCCUUGAAGGUCCUUGUAGCUGGAUUAGGAAUCAGAGUGACACGAGACAGAAUAACAGGAGAAAACCAAAUUUUACAGGUGUGUAUAAUGGGACAUCCACAUAGACAUGGAAAUUCCAAAGACCAUCAGGCAGCAUGGAGUAGAUAUGUCAUCCUGAAACUAAGGGGAAGGGGUAAGAGUCUGGGACUCCAGAGGAAAAGAAUGUACUUCACGGGACCAUAAGAGGAACAGACGUUUGGUAAUUAGAUGUUUGCCCUGCCUUACAGAUGGGCCACUCCGAGAAAAACUGAUCUGUUAAUAACCCUUAUUCUGGGGAAGACCCCCAAUUUAGAUUCUUCUGUGUGGUUAAGGGUGGGAGAAAAGUUUCUCUUCAGCCCGCAGGGACUCAAUUGCCUUCAGCUCAAAAUAAUCCACAUGCUAACGUGGCACUUUCUGGGUUGGGGGGCUUUCCUGAACACCAUCGGAAUCAGGGCAUUUGUUGGGGGCAGGGAGUGGAAGUUCUGCUCCUUAGACAGGCCAUCCUUACUGUUUACGGCUGGUGUGCUGGUUAAUCCGAGGGGAUUUGCAUAGAUGCAGGGACCAAGGAAGAGAAGGUUUGGGGACCCUGGGGGACAGCAGAGCAAGAAGUGGGAAGGGUGUGUGAGGGCCUGCAUCCAAGAAGCUUCCAGUCUCAUGGCCCCUUCCAUCCUGAUUUGCUAUAACCCCUUUCCCUUGGGGCUUGAAUCCAGGGAACUCUUAGGGAAAGACCUGACACAUGACAAGUACUCAAUAGGUAUUUGAUGAAUGAAUGAAUGAAUCCAUGAAUGAAAAGAAUUUUAGAGCUAAAAGGGACUGUAAUGGGCCUCAAGUGAUGGCUAUAACCAACACCAUUCAAUUACUAAUUCCAAUAAAGCAACUCUCAAAGCACUAACAGAAGCUUGAAAACGGAGAAUUUAUAAUCACCAACAUGCUUGCUGUCAAAGUCAUGAUGGUGGCCUGCUUGGGACCUGUCCCCCUCUUCUGCAGCUGCCUCAGGGAGAUGAGAAGGCUUCGGUGUAGGAGCCCAGUGCAGCAGGGGGAACAUCUGUGACAAAGUCGGCCGUGUCUAGGUAAUUCUUCGGUUUGCACAAUGCAAUCUACAGCGGGGCCUUCUUUUGAUGAUGUUGGCGAUAAUGAUAUCAGAUUGUAUGGAGAAGGGCAGAGAAAAGCCGCCAUUAGUUCCAAGAGGGAGGCAUUGAGUGGCAGAGAGGGAAUCUCCUCCAGCCCUCCCUGGGACGGGGUCUCGCUGUCAGCUAGCAGCAAUAUAGUCUCCUUAAUAUGACAAAUCGGAGCUCCUGCCGUACUUUACUGCCUGCAUGUUAAUGAGCCGAGCCCGUGUAACAGAGCCAUUUGGUGGAGGGAGUUUACAAACAACUUGGUUUUGAGAUACUCAGAGAGAGAGGGAGAGAAGGAAGAUGAGGUUGCAUUGAGAGCCGUAGGUCUGACGGAGGAGGCAGCCUCCCUACAAGCCUUGGGACUCAAGGAGAGCCCCCUGGAAGAGUCUUUGCUCUUGGAGUGGCCACGCAAAGAGAGCUGGGGGAGACCUCUAAGACUCUGAGAUUGCAUUUCACUGAAGGACCCGAUUCAUUAAAAUGAUGUACAAAACACUCGUCAGGGGGCGCCCAGGUGGCUUAGUGGGUUGAGCGUCCAAAUU